CCUACGGGAGGCAGCAGUGGGGGAUAUUGCACAAUGGGGGGAACCCUGAUGCAGCGACGCCGCGUGGGUGAAGGAGUGCUUCGGCAUGUAAAGCCCUAUCGGCAGGGAAGAAGCAAGACGGUACCUUACUAAGAAGCCCCGGCUAACUACGUGCCAGCAGCCGCGGUAAUACGUAGGGGGCGAGCGUUAUCCGGAUUCACUGGGUGUACAGGGAGCGUAGACGGCCAUGCAAGCCAGGGGUGAAAGCCCGGGGCCCAACCCCGGGACUGCCCUUGGAACUGCAUGGCUGGAGUGCGGGAGGGGUAGGCGGAAUGCGGGGUGUAGCGGUGAAAUGCGUAGAUAUCAGGAGGAACACCGGCGGCGAAGGCGGCCUGCUGGACCGAGACUGACAUUGAGGCUCGAAAGCGUGGGGAGCGAACAGGAUUAGAUACCCUAGUAGUC
rnacentral:rRNA from 1 species